rnacentral:lncRNA from 1 species
AGGGAACAGACCUAUUGCAGCAGUCAGCCCCUGUUGCAAUAUAAGCUGUGAAUAUGUAGCUGCCACCUGGGCAUUCCCAAGGAAAAUGCAUCCAUGGUCAUCUGAAAGGCCAUGAGGAUAACCUAAGUGAGAAUAAAUGAAAGAGAGGACUUUGGUUUUGCAUUUGGUUGUAAGUUGUAGACAUUCAGAAGAGGAGUUAUCGUGGCAAAAGAAAACAUUCUGUCCUUGAGAGGAUCUCAGAGUAGCACAAUCUGUUCAAUAAGGUUUAGAAAGAAAACAAAGAGCUGAAGGCCAGAGCUGACUCCUUCACACAAAAGUAUAAAGUGUUUAAAAUACUUCAGUGACAAGCAACAAAGAAACGCCUGUUACUACAAUUGCCUGCAUUAAGUAAAGAGACAGAAAAUCUUGAGAACUUUUUAAAAAGUAGAUAUUUGAUGUGCAGGGAGUGUAAGAACGAAAUUCUCUCGGGCCAUGGCCAGAGCCCUGAAUCAGCAGAAUUCUUUUCCUUGAAGAAAGUGAAAACCAGAGGAGGCUGCAUGGGAGAAACCCCUCGCUGCAGUUUGGGAGCAUGCCCUGGUUCUACCACCUUCAAAGGUGGCUGUUGCGGUGGCUGCGCACACACCAGAGGGCUGCUGAAGAGGAGCGGAACAAAUGCCAUUUGCAAUUCAAGUGCCUUUAGACCCCAGAUGCUGCUGCCUCACAGCCACUCUUCUGCAACCUUGAUGAAGGAUGGUAAUUAUCCCUCCAGUACUGGUGUCCAGCACAGGCCCGGCCCUAAUCUUUUGCUGAUACAGGCGACAGAACUCCUCAAGGCCACAGAGGCACAGGUUGGUGCCAAGCUAUUGAAAUGACAUCAAGUCAGGCUGGAUUUGAAAAGGGGCCAUCUUGUACUCCUGGUCCUGCAUACUAGAAUAAAUAUGUGCAACUUUGGCA